rnacentral:tRNA from 1 species
CGGGGUGUAGUCUCGGAGCGAGACGCCUGCUUUGGGAGCAGGAGGCGGCGGGUGCGACUCCCGCCACCCCGA